UGGAUGUCUGAAUACUGCUACCGAUUCAUCUAUUAUAUGUGUAUAAUACGCGUGUGUAUGUAUGUGUACAUGUCUGUGGCUGCGUUUGCAUCGAUGUUUACGUUGUUUAUUAUCGCUUCGAUAAACUGCGAGAGAUAAACGGCUAAUUCAUCAUCACCGGUACCGAUGUUCCCGUUGUCUUCUCUCACACGCGAUAGGAUCAGCUACCUUCGGGAAAGUUCAGCCUGUCACACGAACUUUCCCAUAAUUAUCUGAAACACCUGACGUUAACGGCAACGAUCCUGCGAAAGCCUUUUAACGAAAAAUCGCCAAAAGAAUUUCCAUUGACGUGAAAAUCGUGACCAAUUUUAACGACUAGGCAGAUAAAGUUGAAAAUUCUCACGUCGUUCGAAAUCAUUUUUACGGACAAUAACAAGGAAGAAGAAGAAUAAGAAGAAGAAGAAAAAAAAGGGGAAGAAAAAUUGGACAUGCAGGUAGUUAUUGAAUGCAGCUAGCUACCUUUGCUGACCGUGAUCUCAAUAGUCGUACAACCAAUCAAAAACUCGUUAGUCUCGCUACGAUUUUAGGGACAACAAAUGUGGGA